rnacentral:rRNA from 1 species
UGGGGAAUUUUGGACAAUGGGGGCAACCCUGAUCCAGCGACGCCGCGUGGAGGACGAAGGUCUUCGGAUUGUAAACUCCUUUUGGAGGGGAUGAAUGCCUGCGUGAAAAACGCAGGGUGACAGUACUCUCUGAAUAAGCCACGGCUAACUACGUGCCAGCAGCCGCGGUAAUACGUAGGUGGCAAGCGUUACUCGGAAUCACUAGGCGUAAAGCGCAGGUAGGCGGUUCGGUAAGUCUCUUGUGAAAGCUCCCGGCUCAACUGGGAGAGGUCAAGGGAAACUGCCGGGCUAGAGUGUGGCAGAGGAAGCUGGAAUUCCCGGUGUAGCGGUGAAAUGCGUAGAGAUCGGGAGGAAUACCUAUGGCGAAAGCAGGCUUCUGGGCCGUCACUGACGCUGAUCUGCGAAAGCUAGGGGAGCAAACAGGAUUAGAUACCCCUGUAGUCC